AGCGAACGCUGGCGGCGUGCCUAACACAUGCAAGUCGAACGUGAAAGGGAGCAAUCCUGAGUAAAGUGGCGUACGGGUGAGUAACGCGUAGGUAAUCUACCCCAGAGUCUGGAAUAACCUGCCGAAAGGCGGGCUAAUACUGGAUAGAGCGACGGAAUCCGUAAUUGGGUUUUUCGGGAAAGGGAGGAAGCAAUUCCCUUCGCUCUGGGAUGAGCCUGCGUCUCAUUAGCUAGUUGGUGGGGUAAAGGCCCACCAAGGCAUUGAUGAGUAGCUGGUCUGAGAGGAUGAUCAGCCACACUGGAACUGAAACACGGUCCAGACUCCUACGGGAGGCAGCAGUGGGGAAUCUUGCGCAAUGGACGAAAGUCUGACGCAGCCACGCCGCGUGAGUGAAGAAGGCCUUAGGGUUGUAAAGCUCUGUCGAGCGGGACGAAAAACAAGUGGGUUAAUAGCCCAUUUGUCUGACGGUACCGCUAAAGGAAGCACCGGCUAACUCCGUGCCAGCCGCCGCGGUAA
rnacentral:rRNA from 1 species